AAUUUAUUUUUUGUCUUGCAAGAUAAAAUCAUUAAAUGAAUUACAAAGAAAAUAAUAUAAAACUAGAAUUCUCCAAGAUAAAUAUUCAAUGUUACAUAACCUCUUUAAGGUAAAUCUCCAACUACUCGCGCAUACGAAGUAAGACAGAAGGAAAUAAUAAACGUACCUUAAAAAUCUAGGAAAAACCACCACAGGAUGACCGAGCGAUACACAACCAAACAAAAACACCAGCCGUUGAUGAAAUGUCCAGAUUAAAUGACCCAAUCCAUCAAUUGUCCGAUGUAAUAUUCAAAACGUGCUCGCGUUGCGGGCACGGACGUGUAAAAUUAUUAAUUUUUAAUAAAUUUUAUAACUGA